rnacentral:rRNA from 1 species
GACGAACGCUGGCGGCGUGCCUAAUACAUGCAAGUCGAGCGCAGGAAGCUCACGGAACUCUUCGGAGGGAAGUGAAGGGAAUGAGCGGCGGACGGGUGAGUAACACGUAAGGAACCUGCCCCAAGGAUUGGGAUAACUCCGAGAAAUCGGAGCUAAUACCGAAUAGUUCUUCAGACCGCAUGGGCUGAUGAUGAAAGGCGCCCCGGCGUCACCUUGGGAUGGCCUUGCGGUGCAUUAGCUAGUUGGUGGGGUAAUGGCCCACCAAGGCGACGAUGCAUAGCCGACCUGAGAGGGUGAUCGGCCACACUGGGACUGAGACACGGCCCAGACUCCUACGGGAGGCAGCAGUAGGGAAUCUUCCACAAUGGACGAAAGUCUGAUGGAGCAACGCCGCGUGAGUGAUGAAGGUUUUCGGAUCGUAAAACUCUGUUGUAAGGGAAGAACAGGUAUGAGAGGUAAUGCUCAUGCUAUGACGGUACCUUACGAGAAAGCCACGGCUAACUACGUGCCAGCCGCCGCGGUAAAAC